rnacentral:rRNA from 1 species
GUGCCAGCCGCCGCGGUAAUACGUAGGGUCCGAGCGUUGUCCGGAAUUAUUGGGCGUAAAGGGCUCGUAGGCGGUUCGUCACGUCGGGAGUGAAAACUCGGGGCUUAACCCCGAGCCUGCUUCCGAUACGGGCAGACUAGAGGUAGGCAGGGGAGAGCGGAACUCCUGGUGUAGCGGUGGAAUGCGCAGAUAUCAGGAAGAACACCGGUGGCGAAGGCGGCUCUCUGGGCCUUACCUGACGCUGAGGAGCGAAAGCGUGGGUAGCGAACAGGAUUAGAUACCCUCGUAGUCC